AUUUAAUGCGUACAUUAACAAAUGAUUUGUGGUUGAUUGAUUUUUGAAAAAUCAUUGAAUUGUGGCAUUUUUAUGCCCCACCUACGAUAAUAGAGGGGCAUUAUGUUUUCUGGUCUGUGCGUCCGUUCGUUCGUUCGUUCGUCCGUCCGUCUGUUCGUUCGUUCGUUCGUCUGUUCGUUCGUCCGUCUGUCCCGCUUCAGGUUAAAGUUUUUGGUCAAGGUAGUUUUUGAUGAAGUUGAAGUCCAAUCAACUUGAAACUUAGUACACAUGUUCCUUAUGAUAUUAUCUUUCUAAUUUUAAAGCCAAGUUAAACUUUUGACCCCAAUUUCACGGUCCACUGAACAUAGAAAAUGAAAGUGCAUGUUUCAGGUUAAAGUUUUUGGUCAAGGUAGUUUUUGAUGAAGUUGAAGUCCAAUCAACUUGAAACUUAGUACACAUGUUCCUUAUGAUAUUAUCUUUCUAAUUUUAAAGCCAAAUUAAACUUUUGACCCCAAUUUCACGGUCCACUGAACAUAGAAAAUGAAAGUGCAUGUUUCAGGUUAAAGUUUUUGGUCAAGGUAGUUUUUGAUGAAGUUGAAGUCCAAUCAACUUGAAACUUAGUACAAAUGUUCCCU
rnacentral:lncRNA from 1 species